rnacentral:precursor_RNA from 1 species
GGGGCAUCCUUGUCGUGGAUUCUUUUACGUCCAGUGAGAUGCAGACUAAUACGCGCUCGCACUAAGGCAUGAUCUGAGUCUAUACAUGUGCUC